AGUGAACCGCGCGGGAGCCGGGUCAGCCGGCUGAGAGUGUAACCAGAAGCGUUACAGACCGUGAGAACCUGAUCUGGAUCAUGCCAGCGGAGGGAGCGGUAGAAGAUCGUUC
rnacentral:ncRNA from 2 species